ACUUCUGCAGAGAAGAUUUUCUAAGUUUUGAUUAGAAGAAAAGAGUGCUAGAACAGAAAAUCCUUAUAGAAAAUCCUGGGGUUUUGGAACAGAAAUACUCAAAUGGCAGAUGACUACUCUUUGCCACAUCAACCAGCAUUUCCAUCAAAUGUCACAAUUCCUCUUCCACCAGGAACCAAAAUUUUGUAAAAAUCUUUGGUAGAGAUGACUUCUGCAGGUUUUUUAAUAGGUGUUAAAAUAUUUCAUCUGCAGGAAAUCAGCAGGGAAUUGCCUUCCUCAGCAAUUACCAAAAAACUAUUAGUUGGUAGCAACAGAAAUAUCCCUUAAUUCUCCAAUACUUUUGUCUUUUGUUGGAAGUUGUAUGAAGGUUAAGUCACAAUCACAGAAAUGCUUAAAUUGUAAUACAGAAAUGAAAGAUGGGAAACCAGCAAUAAGGAUUAUAGUAUCAGGUAUUAACAACUAUGGUUUGGGUGAGGUUUUUGUGCUGUGGCUAGAUAUCACCAUCCAUUUGCACUGAAAGAAGAGAAUUCAUCUGUUUUUUGGUAUUUUUUUUGUGCAAACACUGAUGGAAAAAUACUAUUGCAGACUUAACAUUAGAUUUUGCUCUUGAUAAAUGACACGAUCUUAGAAAUCUGUUAUAUUUGACAUUUCUUCACUAGGAAAGUAGUACAGCACUAGGGCAGGUUGUUCAGGAAAGCUGAAGAGUUUCUAUCUUCAGAGGUUUUCAGGACUCAAAAACAGUCACUUGGAUUGAGAGGGCAUAUUAAAUGGUGAGGUGCUACAAACACCUAGCUGCGACCUUUAGGUAGUCCCUCUUUUCACAGGAAUACUGGAAAAAUAUUUCCAGUUUGGAAAUAUGGGAAGCUUUAGGACUAAGAGAGUAAAAUUAUGUUGCUCUUUUUUGUUUUGUUUUUAAUUUAGCUAUACUGAGAUAUUCAUUUGGGUGGUAUUCUGUUUGUAAUGAAAUCAUACAUCAACAGCAUACUCUGGCAUCCAGUACUUACUGCAAUAUUAAUAGACAGUUAAACUGUCUCUCCUAGUCAGUUAAUCAAAUACUUAGUAAAAUUCAAUGUGCUGCUUCACAGUCUGUCAUGACCAGGAAAGACUGAUAUUAUACUUCUGCUUGGGACUGGUCAAAGAACUCAAAUCUUUUGCAGCCACGUUUCCCAAGGGAAGUGAAAGGUGAACAGACCAGUCCAACCUGGAAAAAACUAAAAGACUCUGCUUUAUCUGACUGACAAGAAAAAUAUCCUUCCAGAGAAAUGCUGAAAGCUCAGUUACAUGAAUGUCUAAUCUGGGAGUGGUGUGGCUCUUCUGGAAGAAAAAGUCCUGCCUUCUGUUCCUGGUAAUUAGAUCUGAAUUUUUGGUCUUUGCUAUAAACAGUAUGUUAAUAUUUCUGACAGUGUGGGCUUUUCUACCCUUUCUCAGCAAACAGCAGGAGAAAAGCUUGGUAGAAAAAUGGGUCAGAUCAAACUUUUUAGUUGCCAUAUACAGUUCAGUGAACAGCUAUCCCUAACAAACUGCUUUAGGAGGUGUACUAAUAUCCUACCAAAAAACUGACAAUGAAUUUAACUGUAUGGGUGUUUCCUGUGGCAAGGACACAACAACCUCCUUACCAGCACUAAACCUUUGUUUUGGUUCUUUGGACAUGCUGGGUCAUGGUGGAAUAAAGGGCUAUGAGUCACUAUUAUUGACUACAAGGGUAUGCUGACGUGCACAGUAAUGACAGAUUGCUAUGGGUUUCAUAGUGUUGCAGUCUAGCACAAGUUUAUUUCUGGUGUCUUGCCUAUCAUCUUGAAAUAUCAGUACAUUGAGUCUACCUAUUCAUAUCUACUGCUUCUACUAGCUGUCAUU